CCCCUCCCGGCCCGGGUGCGCUUCAAGGGCCGGCGCCGGAUUUCCUGGCCCCGCGCCCAGCGCCCCGCGGGCUGUUUGGGAGCGCCCGGUGAGGGGACUGCAGGGGCUCCGAGGGCGCACAGCUUCCGUCCCAGCUCCCGCGCCGACUGGAAGCGGCCGGGGCGCACACCCCGCCUGCCCGCUCCCACCCUAGCCCUGCAAACUGGAUCCCCUCCCCUUUCCCCCAAAGGGAACAGGCCUGGCCUCCUGCUCCCUUCCCCAGUCGCAGUCAUCCCGAUCGAUGGUCACACAUAUCGGCAGAAAAAGUCUUCGAACUUGGAAGACCUCUCAGGAUGAGCCUCACCGAGGCUGGAUGGGGAGGAGGGAGGACUGGGGAUAGAGUGCCCAGCCCCAGACCCUCCCAUUGGCCAGAAGGCAGACAUCACUGUUAAGCCCCUGCUCUGCAUCACCAAGACCACUGUGGGACCAGCAAAAAGCCGGAGAAGGAGGGACUUGGCAGCUCAGCUUGACACCUCCGUCUUUAGAACCCAGGAAUUGGAGGCAGAACCUGGACUGGAGCUGGAGUCAGUCAGGACCUCACUCUGACCAGAGACAUGUCCCUUCCCUUCUCUAGCCUCAGCUUCCUCACCAAUAAAAUGAAAAGUUGGAUUUUAUAUUCUCCAAGGCCCCUAGGGCAUGCUCUCGCUAGUAUACACAGACUCGUGCACACAUAUGUACGUUACUCAGUCCAGCCUUCCCACUUUGCCCAUACUGAUCUUCCUGCCUAGAACACCCUGCCUCUUUCUUCUCUCCCCAGUCUCUACCAGUCCCUCAAGCCUCUGCCCCUCCUUUUUCCAGGCCCAUAGUUGGAGCCCUCCUGCCCCAAGACCACGGGCAGCCACAGAGCCAGCCUGACUCUUCCGGCUCUCUCCAUCAGGCUGGAAGCUCUCUGAGGUCGAGACCCUGUCUGCUCCUGGCUCCCACGCUGAGACUUCGUUCUAGAAGGGCCUGGGGUCCCAAGAUCAGCUCAGCCACCAUCCCAGACUUGCAGUUGACCCUUUAAGAAGAAGAAUCUCUUUAGUCUCUAACACACCGGAUGGCGGGUGGGCCCUAAUCGGAUUUGGGAGCCUGUCUCCUGCCCACCCCAAUCCUGCUUUCCAGGCCACUGCACCCAUGUGACGGCCAGUCUGGAGCAGCAGGGAGGCCUCAGGACCACGUGGGUCCAGACAGGUAGUUGAGAGACUGUCUACCCAAGGCAGUCUCUCCUGGGUGGCUGUGUUCCCAGCAGACAGAAGUCAGAAACUGCGGAAGGCAGGAGUGAUCUAGAGCACUUACCCUGUACUCUGGACCAACCGGCACAGUGGAGCAUGUGCACAUGAGUACCCACAUGUGUGCAUGUGGGGAACACACAUAUGCGUGCACACACACACACACACACACACACACACACAUCUCAGAGAGGGAGCUGAGCCAGAUUCUGGGCUAGGCGCUUUACAAACAAUAUUUCUUAG
rnacentral:lncRNA from 10 species